UGGUGGAGUGAUUUGUCUGGUUAAUUCCGUUAACGAACGAGACCGCUGCCUGCUAAAUAGUUACGCGAAUGGCUUCUGCCAUUGGCGGAUAACUUCUUAGAGGGACUUUUGGUUGACUAACCAAAGGAAAGGCUAGCGGCAAUAACA
rnacentral:rRNA from 1 species